rnacentral:rRNA from 1 species
CAGUCGCCGCGGUAAUACGAAGGGUGCAAGCGUUACUCGGAAUUACUGGGCGUAAAGCGUGCGUAGGUGGUGGUUUAAGUCCGUUGUGAAAGCCCUGGGCUCAACCUGGGAAUUGCAGUGGAUACUGGGUCACUAGAGUGUGGUAGAGGAUAGUGGAAUUUCCGGUGUAGCAGUGAAAUGCGUAGAGAUCGGAAGGAACAUCUGUGGCGAAGGCGACUAUCUGGGCCAACACUGACAGUGAGGCACGAAAGCGUGGGGAGCAAACAGGAUUAGAUACCCCAGUAGUCCCUGUCUCUUAUAC